UGCGAAGGGGGCGAGCGUUGUUCGGAUUUACUGGGCGUAAAGGGCGCGCAGGCGGCUCAUUUUGUCAGGCGUGAAAGCCCCGGGCUUAACCUGGGAACUGCGUUUGAUACGGAUGGGCUAGAGUUCGGGAGAGGAGAGUGGAAUUCCCAGUGUAGAGGUGAAAUUCGUAGAUAUUGGGAAGAACACCGGUGGCGAAGGCGGCUCUCUGGACCGAUACUGACGCUGAGGCGCGAAAGCGUGGGGAGCAAACAGG
rnacentral:rRNA from 1 species